rnacentral:rRNA from 1 species
UACGGAGGGUGCGAGCGUUAACCGGAAUCACUGGGUUUAAAGGGUGCGUAGGCGGCUCGGUAAGUCAGUUGUGAAAGCCCCUUGCUUAACGAGGGAGGUGCGAUUGAUACUGUCGAGCUUGAAUCGGGAUGAGGCAGGCGGAAUGUGGCAUGUAGCGGUGAAAUGCAUAGAGAUGCCAGAGAACACCGAUUGCGAAGGCAGCCUGCUGGGCCUGUAUUGACGCUGAGGCACGAAAGCGUGGGGAGCAAACAGG